GAUGAAGAACGCAGCGAAAUGCGAUAAGUAAUGUGAAUUGCAGACACCGUGAAUCAUCGAAUCUUUGAACGCACAUUGCGCCCUUUGGUAUUCCGAAGGGCAUGCCUGUUCGAGCGUCAUUACACUAUUCUUCGGAGUAUUGACAGUGGCUUACGCCUUGUCUAAAACCCUUGGUGGUAACUAUCAAUCACGCAUAGUAAUCUCUGCGAAGGUGGAUAGGUAAACACUGAAAACUUCUUGUUUGACCUCGGAUCAGGUAGGGAUACCCGCUGAACUUAAGCAUAUCAAUAGCGGAGGA
rnacentral:misc_RNA from 1 species